AAUUGAAGUUAUGCAGUAUGGGUUAAUUGUUGUUCUUGAGCUUUCCAAAUGAAUAAGAACAACCUCUUAACAAUAUCAUCAAUUUUCAAAGCAAGCUAUAUAGUUUGAUCUACUCACCUCUGGGAGCAUGACGUCAAAAACGAAAUCAAGCAGAUGAAUCUCGCCUCUCUUUAUUUUUUUAGAAAUGUUUGUUGCCACCUCAAUGAACCGCAGGAGCUCGAACAUCUAUUGAAGAAAAACACAGAAAGUAAACACCUUUCAAAUGUAACACCCCUGAGAGUAAAAAUACUCAUGAUGGAUGGCAUUUUUACUUACGCGCUGCUCACUCCAACUUAGUGUCCUUAUCUUAAGAUGCUGCUUUAGUCGGAGUGAGGUGGCGGGAUUCCUCCAAAGGAACAUUCUGUUGGAGCGGAUCUUUCCAGACAGUAGAUCAUCGUGUAAUGUCUGAAACCAAAGAGCAAGAGACAAAAAUGUAAUCAUCUGAAAAAGAAACGGUGGCUUUAACAACUGAUAGUGCAUUCAAAAGCAACCUUGAUCUGUGUCUUAGAAAAGACAGCAUGAAUUCCUCAACUGUCAACAGCAUCCUUGAUCCUGCAGAGAAAUAAGAAAAGAGCAAGCCCUCAUUUUUUCAUCCUUUGAGCCUCGUAUUUUUGACUGAUACUAUGUUUCCUUGAUAAAUUAUGUUAUACCGAGGAUGCUCAAUGGAGUCCUCACACCCGCAGUCAAACAAAUCCAUUUCAAUCCCAGCACAAUCCUGAUGCAGCCAGCCCCUGCACGUCUUGCACUGGACCCAUUUUAUGACGUUUACCUCAGGGUAAAGCAAUCUGAUCAAAUGAGAGACAAACAUAAUAUUAAACAAACACGCUGUCCAAUUGAUUAUACCUCUGCAGCACAUUUGAAUGUAUAAAUAAUUUUCCUGCAUGAUUCGUGCAUUUAAACUAUAUGUAAAAGAGGUCACUUCAUGGAAAAUCACUGAAUAGGCCCCGAUAAUUGCAUUUAUUAAAUUGAGUCUGCAACACACCUCUCUCCUGUGUUGUUCGAUGUCUGGUAGACACAGAAUUGCAUUGAAUCUGCCAUGCACAUUCUUUGGACAUCCGAUACCGUCUGCGUCAUGGUUUCCUUGACAAGGCAAUUUGAAAAGUAACAUCAAUUACCAAUUACAUCGAGACAAUGUUGAUCCAUACAACUGUGUGCAUUUUGAAGGACUCCCACUGAGAUAAUACUGUUUUUACAAGGCAAUUUUCUAACCUCUAUGUCCUGCUGCUCUGCCUUCCUCUUUAGACUGAAGACCGGAGUAUGCUUUCCAGCAAUGAGCUCUUGACAUUCUUUGGUCCAGUGGGCGAAGAUUUUCCCACAACUGUAAUGACAAUAUGUCUUUAAGUACAAUAUAUUGAUUGUCUUCCAGUUAAUUAGGACAUCUAGUUUACUUAAACUGUCUACCUGUUCAAAGAAUUGUUCUCCAGGAGCAACAGGCACCACCAUCGCCGCCAAACAGGCAUGUCAUGCUGAAAUUGUUGUUUGUGCUUCAUUUUAGUGCACAAUACAAAAUACAAUCUUGAGGAUGACACUGCGUGUUGAAAAGUACUUACAACUGAGUAGUCAAACUGUGACUCCAUAACGAUGUACAUGGCAGACUUUAAAAAAAAAAUUAUGAGACAACAUGUGAGAUAACUUUAAAAAAGUCCAUGUUGGAAAGUUAUUCUAGAUACAAUAUUUGUGCAUUACAGCUCGUUAUGACCUACCAUCAACAUGAAUAUGCCACAGUCUGAGCCGAAGUCCUGGCUGGGGAAGCCCUGAUUUAACAAAAGCAAACGUUAAUCAUCUUGUCACAUACACUUUGUAGGAGCCAGAUUGGGGUUUUGCAGUUUAUUGUUAUGUAUUUUUUGUGCCAGCAGAUGGUGCUAUUGUGCCUGUCUAUUUAAUGGGUGGGUUGAUUAGGAGAGGUGCGCACAUAAAAUGAUGAAUGAGUAAAUAAAUCAAAACAACAGAAAAUGUGUGUGACAUGUGACAUUAUUCCAACUGCGGGCACGCAUCAACUCAAGCAAAAAGGUGUUCGCCACAAGUAACAGCAUUGGAAAGCUGUUAUACACUUUUCAACUGUAAUAUAAAGCAUGCACAAAUACCUCCAAAUCUCUGCCCGUUUUCUCAGUCCAUUGCCCAGGACAUAUCUUCUGCGCAAUGUUCCUGUUAAUUUGAGAGCGUCACUUAGAUUUCCCAUGAUGGAAACAAUGGAAUGCAGGGUUAGGGUUAGUUUGAGUGGUCGGAGGUGAGAUUGAAUGAAUGCGGACGGCUUGCUUCUUUUCAAACUUCCUGAGAGUUCUUCUUCUUCUGUAAAUUUUGCCGUCAGAAAGUGUAGGUGCAUACCGCCACCUACUGUUCUGGCAUCGCAAAGCAGAAGUUCAAAGUUCAUGUUUUGGGUCCGCCAAUCGGAGGUAAUGCGGAAACUUAUUGCGUUUUGUAAAUGUGGUUUUUUAUCUUUGGGUCCGCCAUCUUGGCGCUGCAUCUGGGUACUCUUGCCUGCUAUAGGUAAAACCGGAAGUGGAGAUGACGUCGUGUGAAGUCCCACUAUUCCCCCCAUGCUAGUUCUUUAUAGGUCGUCGACCGAAAUCAGUACUACUAGUUGCCAUCCGCCGUUAACCAAGAAGGAGAUAAAGAAGUACACAUUUCUGCUCGACCUCCCAUAAUCGACCAAAUCCAGAUUCUGCAAACAAAGGAUCGGAGCCAAAUAAGCCUUGACUUUUUCAAACCUGGUGAUCCGAAACCGAGGUUCAAAUUUUCGCUCCAAACCGAUUCAGCUCAGUUUCCGCACCAGAAAACGCUUACAAAGUAAAAAGAAGAGGAAGAAGUCGUCCACGUGGUACCGCGGUAACCACAAAGUUCUGUUUUCGCUGCUUUCGCUCUUGCGUUUGUGGAAAAUGUCCGGGUUUCAGGAUCUCGAUGAUUUAUUGAAUCGGCGGCUGCUGGCUGCGGUCAUCACGGAUCUGGUCGAAAAUAGAACAGAGUCUGGAUACGAAGAGGAGCUCCGCCGCCAGAAAAAACUGCUGGCUGUGAUUUUAACACCCGAAAUCAAGCUGCACAGAGCAGGUCAGUUUUCCUUACACUUCUGGAUACAUGUUUCAAUGCCUGGCAAAAUAAUAUGAUUAAACCUGAAAUGACUAAAGGGCAAAAAACUAUUUAUUUUCAAGGAAAAGUUUUUUAUUACGAAUAUAUGAAGUACUGCACAACCGCGACAACAAAUAGAACAGCUAUCCUAUACUGUUUUAUCCUAUUAACUGCUGGACUGUGUCAAGUAUUUGUAGUUUAAGAGUCACACAUUGGUUUGAUGAUGAUUCUGAAAAGGCACAAGGAAGCACAUGUUCCAGGUGUAUCUCUGCGGCCUACUUGAAGAUGUAAAUCUUUGACUUUGUACUGUCAGUCUGCAUUUUUAGUUUUUGUGCGGCCCAGCAGGCUUAAAUCCUGUCUGAUUCAGAGGGGUAAAACUUUUUCAGAUAGAAUAGUUAACUUUCAUAUUUGUCUCUUCAAUGUUUCUAUACCCUUAGCCCCUUUAUUUUAGAGGGCUUGAUAAACAUCUCACCCACUAUAGCAGGGUAUUGGGGCGGGAAGAAAAAAAACACUGAAAUUUCCUUGUUUUUUCAAAGUACAUGUCUGUCUCCAAUUGUGAUAUACAAUUUAAUGAUAAUUUAGUUCAAUAAAUGUCAGUGAGGGGAUAAGAAAUUGAAGUUUGGGAGGCUCUGCUGACAGACACACAAACUAUCACUGCAACCUAUUUGAUUUGGAUCCAUGUGAACUAAAUGUGAACUGAACUCUUAGCUCUUAGUAUGAACUCUCACAAUGCUGCUCUUGGUUACCUGGGUUAAGUGUUUUAUCAACACUGUGAUUGGUUGCCUGGAACUAUUGUGCAGCAGCUCUUUGCACCAGGCUGCAUCCAUACAGUUUUGCCCCAGAAGUUUCAGGAGCACAACAAUGAGCAUCAUAUCAAAUGCUGAAACUGAUAUGAGAAUAACAACAGAUUUAGUGGUGCCUCUUCAACUAAAUCCAUGCUGCUGACAUUGUUCAGUUCUUGUCAGAACUAUUGAGAAAUAGUCUGCUUUUAAUAGCUGGUGAGCUAAUUAAGUCCAACACUAGAGGGGGCAACAUUAGUCCAUAAUCCCCAGACUAACUCUUAUCUUUUUGAGACUAUCAUUGAGUGUUUAAAUCUGCUUUCAUAUCUCCUGAUGUUUUCAUCAACUUCUGUUUAGUUAUUGUUUUUCUGUGCCUUGCAGAUAUCCAGCAGGUGUUGGUGAAAAAAGAGUUUCUCUCUGAGCAGCAGGAGAGGAGUCCCACUCUGGACCAGGGAAACACUGAGCCCCCGAACAUUUGCAAGGAACAGAAUUAUGGAGGACAAGAUCCAGCCAGUAACUACUCAGGGAUAAAUAUACAACGAAAGACUCAAGACUCCCCUGAACCUGAGACCGAGGGCAGAGAUGAGAAUUGGGAGGAUACAAGGCCACAAAAGUCAAGUCUAAUGUCUGUGAAAAAAGUGAGAAAGAAGAUGCUAAAGAGGCUUGAGAAAUCACAUGUUUGCUCAAAAUGUUGUCAAGUAUUCAAAACACAACAAGAACUAGAAAAACACCUGAAAGUUCACUCAGAGGAGAGACCCUUCAGCUGCCCAGAAUGUGCCAAAACAUUCAAAACUAAAUACGACCUGGCAAGCCACAUGAGAGUUCACUCAGAUGAGAGACCCUUCAGCUGCCCAGACUGUGGCAAAACAUUCAAAACUAAAGGAGAACUGGUAAAACACAUGAUAGUUCACUCAGAGGAGAAACCCUUCAGCUGCCCUGAGUGUGGCAAAACAUUCAAAACUAAAGGAAAACUGACAAAACAUAUGAGAGUUCACUCAGAGGAGAGACCCUUCAGCUGCUCAGAAUGUUGCAAAACAUUCAAAACUAAAAAAACACUAGCAAACCACAUGGCAGUUCAUUCAGAUGAGAAACUCUUCAGCUGCCCAGAGUGUGGUAAAUUGUUUAAAACAAAAAAGCUGAGGACCAGUCACAUGAGAGUUCACUCAGAUGAGAAACCCUUCAGCUGCAGGCAGUGUGGCAAAACAUUCAAAACUAAAUACGAAGUGACAAUGCACAUGAGCGUUCAUUCAGAGGAGAGACCCUUCAAUUGCCCAGAGUGUGGCAAAAUUUUCAAAUCUAAAAGAGAACUGGCACAACACAUGGCAGUUCACUCAGAAGAUAGACCCUUCAGCUGCUCCGGAUGUGGCAAAACAUUCAAAACUAAAGGAGAACUGGCAAGCCACAUGAGAGUUCACUCAGAGGAGAGACCCUUCAGCUGCUCAGAAUGUGGGAAAACAUUCAAAACUAAAAAAGAACUGAGACAACACAUGGCAGUUCAUUCAGAGGAGAGACCCUUCAGCUGCUCAGAAUGUGGCAAAACAUUCAAAACUAAAGAUAACCUGGCAAGCCACAUGAGAGUUCACUCAGAGGAGAAACCCUUCAGCUGCCCAGAAUGCGGGAAAACAUUCAAAACUAAACAAGAAGUGGCAAGCCACAUCAGAGUUCACUCAGAGGAGAAACCCUUCAGCUGCUCAGAAUGCGGGAAAACAUUCAAAACUAAACAAGAAGUGGCAAGCCACAUGAGAGUUCACUCAGAGGAGAAACCCUUCAGCUGCUCAGAAUGUGGGAAAACAUUCAAAACUAAACAAGAAGUGGCAAGCCACAUGAGAGUUCACACAGAUGAGAAACCCUUCAGCUGCUCAGAAUGUUGCAAUGCAUUUAAAACAAAAGCCAUUCUGGUGCACCACAAGACGGUUCACUCAGAGGAGAGACCCUUCAGCUGCACUGAAUGUGGCAAAAAUUUCAAAACUAAAAAAGAACUGCGACAACACAUGAUAGUUCAUUCAGAGGAGAGACCCUUCAGCUGCUCAGAAUGUGGCAAAACAUUCAAAACUAAAUACGACCUGGCACAACACACAAAAUUUCAUUCAGAGGAGAGACCCUUCAGCUGCUCAGAAUGUGGCAAAACAUUCAAAACUAAAGCCCAUCUGGUGAACCACAAGACGAUUCACUCAGAGGAGAGACCCUUCAGCUGCACUGAAUGUGGCAAAAAUUUCAAAACUAAAAAAGAACUGGGACAACACAUGGCAGUUCAUUCAGAGGAGAGACCCUUCAGCUGCUCAGAAUGUGGCAAAACAUUCAAAACUAAAUACGACCUGGCGCACCACAUGAGAGUUCAUUCAGAGGAGAGACCCUUCAGCUGCUCAGAAUGUGGCAGUGCAUUUAAAACAAAAGCCAUUCUGGUGAACCACAAGACGGUUCACUCAGAGGAGAGACCCUUCAGCUGCACUGAAUGUGCCAAAAAUUUCAAAACUAAAAGAGAACUGGGACAACACAUGAUAGUUCAUUCUGAGGAGAGACCCUUCAGCUGCACUGUAUGUGGCAAAAAUUUCAAAACUAAAAAAGAACUGGGACAACACAUGAUAGUUCAUUCAGAGGAGAGACCCUUCAGCUGCUCAGAAUGUGGCAAAACAUUCAAAACUAAAUAAGACCUGGCACAACACACAAAAUUUCAUUCAGAGGAGAGACCCUUCAGCUGCUCAGAAUGUGGCAAUACAUUUAAAACUAAAGCCCAUCUGGUGAACCACAAGACGAUUCACUCAGAGGAGAGACCCUUCAGCUGCACUGAAUGUGGCAAAAAUUUCAAAACUAUAUACGACCUGGCAAGACACAUGAGAGUUCACACAGAGGAGAGACCCUUUAGCUGCUUUUCCAAAGAAAACCUGAAUUGAUAACACACAUGAGAGUUCACACUGGAGAAAGACCCUAUAGCUGCCCUGGAUGUGAUAAACUGUAUAAAACCAAACAAGAACUCAAUACACACAUUAAUCUCAAAUGAUGAAGAAACCCACUGGCUGCUGUGUUUGAAGGGAAGUACUCUUUGGAAAAUGAAGUCAGAUUUCACAUUUUCUAGUUUAUGCUGGGGAGUAGAUUUUGAGUUGUUUACUGUGUGGUGAAGGAGGAAAACGUUACAUUUUCCAAAUCUACAAAUGUUGUUUCUAUAAUAGAGAGAGACAUUUUUGUUCUGUGUAUAAUAGAAUAUACUGACACUAGACUAGUCCAAGAAUGUCACGUGGCUCUUCAGAGGUGUGUGUGUGUGUGUAGGAGGGGUUGUCUCAGUCUUUAAAUUCUGGAAGCCUCUCUGCAAAAAUGAACACAUAGCUAGAGACCCGUUGUGUCUCUAGCUAUGCUAGCUCUCUAGCUAUGAUUUCCCUUCAGGGAUCAAUAAAGUUAUUCUUAUUCUUAUCCCUUGUAUCUUUUGUAAUUUUUUUUGUAUGAUCUAGAUAAUGGGUCUGAAAUAACCCUCUGCUGGGGCAGCACUUAACCUUCUCUAUCCUGUCCUGUGCUCUACAAUUAUGCAAUGCAGUGUAGCAAGGUGUGUGUGUUUUUUUCUUUUGUUUUACUCAUUACAAUUCUGAAGAUACUUGUAUUGAGUCCUGGCUUUUUGAUGUCACAUUAGACCUCUCCAGACUCUGCAAUCAAAAGAUUGGAGCCAAAUAAACCGUGACUUUUUCAAACUUGGUGAUCCGAUACCAAGGUUUAAAUUUUCGCUCCAUACCGGAUUCAGCUCUAAUUUGUGGGAACUCACAGGUUCAUGCUAAUCAUUUAAUCAUUGAUGACAAUCAUUUUAUCAUUUUUCAGGUAAUUAACUGUUUUCUUAUUGUGUUUACAUUAUUUUGUGUGCUCAUUGCGGACAUGUACUGAUGAGUCAGAUAAGAAGGUUUAAUGCUAACACAGGGGCAAUUGAUCACUGUGUCACAAUGUAUAGAACAGAGACUUUCAGUAUAGAAGGAUUUUAGCUUAUGCCUAGAAGUGCCAAGGGUUGGUAAGUAUGGUUUUAAACUGUUCUGCCUUAACAGUCAUUAAUUUGAAGUGUGUAUUAUAAUCAUAAGUAAUUUAUUAAAAACUAUGCUUUAUAAUCAUCACAGUCAUUCAUUAAAAGUGUUCCUUAUAAAAGUGCUCUAUGGCCCUGACAUAUGCCUUGGAUAAUGAUGUGCCUUUCAUAACAGAUGUGCAGGUGCCAGUCAGAGAUGUGAACAACAGGACCAGGGAGGAAGAUCACUCUGUCCUGAGAAGAUGUGGGGGUGUACAGGGAGGGUUUGCAUGCCCAGCAGUCUGCCUAGUGGGAACUCUGUGAAAGAUUGGAAUACAUGACGCAAAUAUGAUAAAAAGGAGACAAGCACUGGAUGCAUCCAAGGUCAACUUCCCUGACACCACGGUUUCAGUCAGGAAAAAAAACAGUAGAACAAUACGUGCUUGUUUGUCCAUAGAGAAACACUAGGGGCUGCUAGUUAUGUAAACUCUCCGCCCAUAAAGAUGAUGAGACGCCUCAAGUGUAUAAAUAUUAACUACUGAAAAAUAGUAAUCAGACCACCUCAGAGAUACCAUUGGGUUGAUGUGCUCUCCAAGAUAUCUUGUGUUAUUUGCUGUGCCGAAAUAAAAGGUUUGUUGAAGACACCUUUUUGCCUCAUUGAAUCCUCUGUUACAGUCUCCAUGAACGGACUCCGGGAAGUUUGGAGUAACUUCAACAGUUUCCACACCAGAAAACGCUCAUAAAGACAAAAGAAGCGGAAGAGGUCGUCCACGUGGUACCGCGGUAACCACAAACGUCUGCUUUCGCUCUUACGUUUGUGGAAAAUGUCCGGGUUUCAGGAUCUUGAUGAUUUAUUUAAUCGGCGGCUGCUGGCUGCGGUAAUCACGGACCUGGUCGAAAAUAGAACAGAGUCUGGAUACGAAGAGGAGCUCCGCCGCCAGAAAAAACUGCUGGCUGUGAUUUUAACACCCGAAAUCAAGCUGCACAGAGCAGGUCAGUUUUCCUUACACUUCUGGAUACAUGUUUCAAUGCCUUUACUGAAGCAAGCGCCACACACAGGCUGCAAUAAACCAUAUUAAUGAAAUGGCAAAAUAAUAUGAUUAAACCUGAAAUGACUUAAGGGCAAAAAAAGUAUUUAUUUACGAGGAAAAGCUUUUUUUUCUUAUGAAUACAUGAAGUUCUGCACAACCGCAACAAUACAACAGUUAUCCUAUCCUGUUUUAUCCUAUUAACAGCGUGACGGUGUCGCUUUUCAGCUCUUGCUCACUCUGUGGGUCACGCUUUAUUUCUUAGUACUGGUAGACUGAGCCACAGUGUCACCUGCUGGUCGGGAAAUUACCCUGCAGGUCUGUGCGAAAAUCUUUGGCUUCUCCACAGGCUCAAGUUUUGUGUAAAAACUCGUGCGGUAUUUUUUGUACUUUAUCAGUGAGCAAAAUGGGAAAAACAUCAAGUACUUGUAGUUUAAGAGUCACACAUAUGUUUGAUGAUGAUUCUGAAAAGGCACAAGAAAAGCACAUGUUCCAGAUUUAUCUCUGCGGCCUACUUGAAAAUGUAAAUUUAUGUACUGUCAGUCUGCAUUUUUAGUUUUUGUGCUGCCCAGCAGGCUAAAAUCCUGUCUGAUUCAGAGGGGUAAAACUUUUUCAGAUAGAAUAGUCAACUUUCAUGUUUGUCUCUUCAGUGUUUCUAUACCCUUAGCCCCUUUAUUUUAGAGGGCUUGAUAAACAUCUCACCCACUAUAGCAGGGUAUUGGGGCGAAAAAGAAACUGUUUAAAACACUGAAAUUUCCUUGUUUUUUCAAAGUACAUGUCUGUCUCCAAUUGUGAUGUACAAUUGAAUAAUUAAUAACUUCAAUAAAUGUCAGUGAGGAGAUUAGCAAUUGAAGUUCGGGAGGCUCUGCUGACAGACACACAAACUAUCAGUGCAACCUAGUUGAUUUGGAUCCAUGUGAACUAAAUGUGAGCUGAAUUCUGAGCUCUUAGUGUGAACUCUCACAAUGCUGCUCUUGGUUACCUGGGUUAAGUGUUUUAUCAACACUGUGAUUGGUUACCUGGAACUAUGGUGCAGCAGCUUUUUGCACCAGGCUGCAUCCAUACAGUUUUGCCCGAGAAGUUUCAGGAGCACAUCAAUGAGCAUCAUAUCAAAUGCUGAAACUGAUAUGAGAAUAACAACAGAUUUAGUGGUGCCUCUUCAACUAAAUCCAUGCUGCUGACAUUGUUCAGUUCUUGUCAGGACUGUUGACAAAUAGUCUGCUGCUCCGAGACAGCACAUACAUAGCUGGUGAGCUAAUUAAGUCCAACACUAGAGGGGGUAACAUUAGUUCAUCAUCCCCACACUAACUCUUAUCUUUCUUAAGAAUAUCAUUGAGUUUUAAAUUCUGCUUUUACAUCUACUGGUGUUUUCAUUACCUUCUGUUUAGUUGUUGUUUUUCUGUGCCUUGCAAAUAUCCAGAAGGUGUUGGUGAAAAAAGAAGAGUUUCUCUCUGAGCAGCAGGGGAGGAGUCCCACUCUGGACCAGGGAUACACUGAGCCCCCGAACAUUUGCAAGGAACAGAAUUAUGGAGGACAAGAUCCAGCCGGUAACUCAGAUUCAGAGAUAGAUAUACAACGAAAGACUCAAGACUCCCCUGAACCUGAGACUGAGGGCAGUGAUGAGAAUUGGGAGGAAACAAGGCCACAAAAGUCAAGUCUUUUUUCUGUGAAAAAAGUGAGAAAGAAGAUGCUGAAGAGGCUUGAGAAAUCACGUGUUUGCUCAAAGUGUUGUCGAAUAUUCAAAACACGUCAAGAACUAGCAAAACACCUGAAAUUUCACUCAGAGGAGAGACCCUUCAGCUGCCCAGAGUGUGGCACAACAUUCAAAACUAAAAAUAUACUAGGACAACACAUGGCAGUUCAUUCAGAUGAGAAACCCUUAAGCUGCUCAGAAUGUGGCAAAACAUUCAAAACUAAACAAGAAGUGGCAAGCCACAUCAGAGUUCACUCAGAGGAGAAACCCUUCUGCUGCCCAGAAUGCGGGAAAACAUUCAAAACUAAACAAGAAGUGGCAAGCCACAUGAGAGUUCACACAGAUGAGAAACCCUUCAGCUGCUCAGAAUGUGGGAAAACAUUCAAAACUAAAAAAGAACUGAGACAACACAUGGCAGUUCAUUCAGAGGAGAAACCCUUCAGCUGCUCAGAAUGUGGCAAAACAUUCAAAACUAAAGAUAACCUGGCAAGCCACAUGAGAGUUCACUCAGAGGAGAAACCCUUCUGCUGCCCAGAAUGCGGGAAAACAUUCAAAACUAAACAAGAAGUGGCAAGCCACAUCAGAGUUCACUCAGAGGAGAAACCCUUCAGCUGCUCAGAAUGUGGGAAAACAUUCAAAACUAAACAAGAAGUGGCAAGCCACAUGAGAGUUCACACAGAUGAGAAACCCUUCAGCUGCUCAGAAUGUGGGAAAACAUUCAAAACUAAACAAGAAGUGGCACCCCACAUGAGAGUUCACUCAGAUGAGAGACCCUUCAGCUGCACUGAAUGUGGCAAAACAUUUAAAACUGAACAAACACUGCAUAAGCACAUGAGAGUUCACACUGGAGAAAGACCCUAUAGCUGCCCUGGAUGUGAUAAACUUUUUAAAACUAACUCUUUGGUAAAUGAAGUCAGGUUUCACAUUUUCUAGUUUAUGCUGGGGAGAAGAUUUUGAGUUGUUUACUGUGUGGUGAAAGAGUUAAACGUAACAGAUUUCAAACCUACAAAUGUUGCUUAAUACUAGAGAGAGAUAUUUUUGUUCUGCGUAUAUUGGAAUAUAUUGACACUAGACUAGUCUAAGAAUGUUACAUGGCUCUUCAGGUGUGUGUGUGCGUGUGUGUGUGUUUGUGUGUGUAGGGGGGGUUGUCUCAGUCUUUAAAUUCUGUAAGCCUCUCUGCAAAAAUGAACACAUAGCUAGAGACACAACUGGUCUCUAGCUAUGCUAGCUCUCUAGCUAUUAUUUCCCUUUGGGGAUCAAUAAAGUUAUUCUUAUUCUUAUCCCUUGUCUCUUUUAAUUUUUUUUGUAUGAUCUGGACUUAUUGGGUCUGAAAUAACCCUCUGCUGGGGCAGCACUUAACCUUCUCUAUCCUGUCCUGUGCUCUACAAUUAUGCAAUGCAGUGUGGCGAGGUGUGUUAUCUCACUUAUUAGAAUUCUGGAGAUACUUGUAUUGAGUCCUGGUCUUUUGAUGUCACAUUAGACCUCUCUUAAACUUAAAUAACAUUAACAGGAAAUUGUAUUAGGUUUAUGACCAAAAUUGUUUGUUCAGAAGAUUAUGAAGUAGAUAAUGGAGACAGAGAGGGUAGAUAGUGAGGAUGAAGAGAGACUCCCUGAAAGAGUGCAUAUAGGAUAUAUGAGCUACGGUGUGAGGCUCUAUGUGCCUCCGCCAUUAAGGUGCUUCAAAUGCCAGAAGUAUCGGCAUGUUGCAGCAGUGUGUAAGGGGAAACAAAGAUGUGGGAAAUGUGCUGGGGAACAUGAAUAUGGGAAAUGUGAAAUUGGAGCUAAAAUUAAAUGCUGCAACUGUGGAGGGGAGCAUACCUCUGCAUACGGGGGAUGUGAAGUUUGUAAGAGAGCAGCAGAAGUGCAGCAAAUGAAAACAUCACAUUCGAUCACACACGCCAAGGCAGACAGGAGGGUGAGGGUGCAGGCAACUGAAAGUAAUUCCAGGACAACUGAAAGGCAAGAAGUCAGAACACAUGAAGGAUGCAAAAGAAUUAAGGAAGAUACAAUGGUUGUAGGGAAGAGAGACUUCAUACUGUUCAUGGUUGAGGUGGGUAACUGUACAGGGCAAACAGACAAAAAAACUGAAGAAAUCAAAAUAAUAGUGAGAGCAGCAGAAGAGUAUAUGGGACUGGAGGCAGUCGGGUGGGAGGAAGUGGAGGACCUGCUGAAAGGAGGGGGUCCAGUUCACAGAAUCCAUCACAGCAGUCAUCAGUAUGGAAUGGAGGAUCAUCAUGGUCCUAAGUAUACUGCAAUGGAAUGCAAGAAGUCUCAUAACCAAUGGGCAGGAAUUUAAGAAGUUUAUUUCUGGGCUACAGGACAAGACCACUAUUAUAUGUGUUCAAGAAACAUGGAUGAGGGUGCAGUGGGAUUUUGUAAUACAUGAGUACAUGGGUGUAAGAAAUGACAGGAAAAAUGGGCCAGGUGGUGGGGUAGCUACCUUUGUAAAGGAUGGGAUAGGGUUUAAUAUAGGUCAAAUGGGGACGGAUCAUGAGUCCAUAACGGUAAAAAUUUGGACAGGAAGAUAUGAGCUAGCAGUUAUUAAUUACUAUAACCCAUGCAAGAGAUUGAGUAUGGAUACGCUGAAUAAGGUACUGGGGGAAGUGCAAGGGAAAAUAGUGUGGUGUGGGGAUUUCAAUGCACAUAGCACUUUAUGGGGGAGUGAGAGAACAGACUCAAAUGGUUCAAUAGUGGAAGAAUUUAUAGAGGAUAAACGGUUAGUGUGUAUGAAUGAUGGGAGGGGCACUAGGUAUGAUUGUGUACGAAAUAAGGAGAGUGCAUUGACUCACCUUUAAUGUCCAAUGAGAUGGCAGGUAUCACAGAUUGGGAAGUGCUAGAUGAAAUAUUAAUGGGGAGUGAUCACUAUCCAGUGAUUAGUAAGGUGAGAGUAGAAAUGCAGCAAGAGGAGGAAAGGAGGGUGCCAAGGUGGAAAAAUCUGAAUGUUAAGUGGGAUGCUUAUCAGGCAGUGAGUAGAAAUAUGUUUGAGGAGUUACAUGAGGAGCAAUGGACAGGUGUGGAGGAAUGGAAUGAGAGAGUGGUAGCAGCUAUAAUACAGUCUGCUGAUGGGACAGUUCCAAAAGUGUCCGGGGGCAGAAGUGAAAAAAGUGUACCAUGGUGGGAUAAUAACUGCAGACAGGCUAUUAAAGCACGUAACAGGGCAUUCAGAUAGUUAAUGAAGCAGCAUACAAUAGAGACAUUAAUCCAAUACAGAAGGUCACAGGCAGUAGUGAAAAGGACGAUCAGAGCAGCUAAGCGGGCGUGCUGGAGGAAGUACUGUAGUGGAAUAGGGCAGGAGGUACAGCUGUCAGAUGUUUGGGGAAUGAUUAGAAAAAUUAGUGGAAUAAAAAGAAAUAUAACAAUCCCAAUUCUGAGGAAGGACGAUAGAACAGCAGUUAGUAAUUUAGAGAAGGCGACGCUACUGGCAGAAACGUUGAUUCAAGUUCAUAGUUCAGAGAAUAUCUCAACAGAAGCAAAGCAGCAUAGGCAGAAUGUGCUGACACAAAACACUUGGAUUAGAAAGAAAAAGCAGGCAAGAGGGGAUGAUCAAGAUCUGCCCUUUAAUUUGUAGGAAUUAAGAAGAGCAGUAUCCAAAGCUCGGCAGUCUUCACCAGGGAAAGAUGAUGUGUGCUACUGUAUGUUAGAUCACAUGGAUGACAGGUCGCUGGGGGUAAUAUUGAAGUUAUUUAACAAAGUAUGGGAGUCAGGGGAGGUUCCACAGGCAUGGAAUCACUCAGUUAUAGUGCCAAUUUUGAAACAAAUUAUCAAAUUAUAGGCCAAUUGCCCUUACAUCCCAACUAGGGAAAGAUGGUGACAGAAAGGCUGAUGUUUUUUUUAGAGAGUUGUGACCUUUUUUCUUCAUAUCAAAGUGGGUUUCGCAAAGGAAGGAACACCAUGGAUUCAGUGCUCAGUUUGAAGUCAGAUAUUAGAAAAGCACAGACAAAUAAAGAAAUAGUGAUGGCUGUGUUCUUCGACGUAGAGAAGGCAUAUGAUAUGUUAUGGAAAGAAGAGUUACUGAUCAAAUUAGAUAAGUUGGGAGUAGGAGGGAAAUUAGAUAACUGGGUACUGAGCUUUUUAUUUAGAAGAACAAUAGAGGUGAGAGUAGGGCAGGAAUUCUCUCCAGUAUAUGAGGUUGAAAACGGAACCCCACCAGGGAGUGUGUGUAGUCCAGUGUUCUUUAAUUGUAUGAUCAAUGAUAUAUUUGAGGAGGAAUAAGUAAGUCAUUAUUUGCUGACGAUGGGGCCUUAUGGGUAAGAGGCAGAAAUCAAGAGUAUCUGCAGAAAAAGCUGCAGGCAGCGGUUGAUAAAGUGGAGCAGUGGGCAAAUAGGUGGGAGUUCAAACUGUCAGUUGCGAAAACUCAAGUAAUAUGCUUUGCUAAGCAACACAAAGAGGUGUCAAUAAAACUAUAUGAUCAAACUUUAGAACAAGCCAAAGUAGUACAAUUUUUGGGUGUUUUAUUUGAUGAAAAACUCACCUGGAAGCAGCAUAUUGAAAAAGUGAGAGAUAAAUGUAAGAAUGAUGAUGAGGUCCAGAAUUGAUUAUGGCAGUGUGGCUUAUAUGUCAGCAGCAGAGAGUCACCUGAAGAAGCUGGACGUGGAGCAGGCUAAGGGGCUGAGGAUAUGCAAUGGGGCGUUUAAGACCUCUCCAGUGGCUGCUCUUCAAGUUGAGGUAGGGGAAGAGCCUCUAAGGAUAAGAAGGGUAAAGCACAUGCUGGCAUACUGGGUAUAUCUGCAGGGACACAAAAGGUCGCAUCCAGCAAAAGCAAUAUUAGAGGAAUGCUCAGAGCAUGGCAAAACCAACUUUUGGAGUUUGGGCUGGGUUGGGAAUGUAAAAGCCGAAAGUGUUGGUUUAUGCAACAUGCAAUAUGUGUCAAGUAAUUCUUUACCAGAAAUCCCUCCGUGGGUAUUUAAGGAGCCAACAGUGGACUUUGGUAUUCAGGGUAAAGUAAAGAAGAAAUCAGGGAAUACAGGUUAGUUAUUUAUUAUUAUUAUUAUCUAUUGUUCCACACUCCAGUCCAGUAGGUGGCGGCAAUGCGCUACAUUGUUGGAUGCCAGCCGCCAAACGAAUCCAAGAAGAAGAAGAAGAAGAAGCAGUACUACUAGUUGCCAUCCGCCGUUAACCAAGAGGAAGAAGAUAUAGAACACAUUACUGCUCGACCUCCAUAAUCGACCAAAUCCAGAUUCUUCAAUCAAAAGAUCGGAGCCAAAUAAACCGAGACUUUUUCAAACCUGGUGAUCCGAUACCGAGGUUUAAAUUUUCGCUCCUAACCGGAUUCAGCUCAGUUUCCACACCAGAAAACGCUCAUAAAGGAAAAGAAGAGGAAGAAGUCGUCCACGUGGUACCGCGGUAACCACAAAGUUCUGCUUCCGCUCUUGCGUUUGUGGAAAAUGUCCGGGUUUCAGGAUCUCGAUGAUUUAUUUAAUCGGCGGCUUCUGGCUGCGGUAAUGACGGACCUGGUCGAAAAUAGAACAGAGUCUGGAUACGAAGAGGAGCUCCGCCGCCAGAAAAAACUGCUGGCUGUGAUUUUAACACCCGAGAUCAAGCUGCACAGAGCAGGUCAGUUUUCCUUACACUUCUGGAUGCAUGUUUCAAUGCCUUUACUGAAGCAAGCGCCACACACAGGCUGCAAUAAACCAUAUUAACAAAAUGGCAAAAUAAUAUGUUUAAACCUGGAAUGAUUUUAAGGCAAAAAAAAGUAUUUCUUUUCAAGGAAAAGGUUUUUUUCUAUGAAUACAUGAAGUACUGCACAACCGCGACAACAAAUAGAACAGCUAUCCUAUACUGUUUUAUCCUAUUAACGGCUGGACUGUGUCAAGUAUUUGUAGUUUAAGAGUCACACAUUGGUUUGAUGAUGAAAAGGCACAAGAAAAGCACAUGUUCCAGAUUUAUCUCUGCGGCCUACUUGAAAAUGUAAAUCUUUGUACUGUCAGUCGGCAUUUUUAGUUUUUGUGCUGCCCAGCAGGCUAAAAUCCUGUCGGAUUCAGAGGGGUAAAACUUUUUCAGAUAGAAUAGUCAACUUUCAUGUUUGUCUCGUCAGUGUUUCUAUACCCUUAGCCCCUUUAUUUUAGAGGGCUUGAUAAACAUCUCACCCACUAUAGCAGGGUAUUGGGGCGGGAAAAAAAACUGUUUAAAACACUGCAAUUUCCUUGUUUUUUCAAACUACAUGUCUGUCUCCAAUUGUGAUGUACAAUUGAAUAAUAAUUUAGUUCAAUAGAUAGAUAGAUAUAGAUAGAUGGGUGGGUGGGUAGGUAGGUAGGUGCUCCAAGACAGCACAUAAUUAGCAUUAUGUAACACUGGUACAUAAUCACCACACUAACUCUUAUCUUUAGACUAUCAUUGAGCUUUUAAAUCUGCUUAUUUAUCUACUGAUGUUUUCAUCAACUUCUGUUUAGUUAUUGUUUUUCUGUGCCUUGCAGAUAUCCAGCAGGUGUUGGUGAAAAAAGAAGAGUUUCUCUCUGAGCAGCAGGAGAGGAGUCCCAGUCUGGACCAGGGAAACACUGAGCCCCCGAACAUUUGCAAGGAACAGAACUAUGGAGGGCAAGAACCAGCCAGUAACUCAGAUUCAGAGAUAAAUAUACAACAAAAGACUCAAGACUCCCCUGAACCUGAGACCAAGGGCAGUGAUGAGAAUUGGGAGGAUACAAGACCACAAAAGUCAAGUCUUUUUUCUGUGAAAAAAGUGAGAAAGAAGAUUCUGAAGAGGAUUGAGAAAUCACAUGUUUGCUCAAAGUGUUGUCGAAUAUUCAAAACACAACAAGAACUAGCAAUCCACCUGAAAGUUCACUCAGAGGAGAGACCCUUCAGCUGCCCAGAGUGUGGCAAAACAUUCAAAACUAAAAAUAUACUAGGACAACACAUGGCAGUUCAUUCAGAUGAGAAACCCUUCAGCUGCUCAGAAUGUGGGAAAACAUUCAAAACUAAACAAGAAGUGGCAAGCCACAUGAGAGUUCACUCAGAGGAGAGACCCUUCAGCUGCUCAGAAUGUGGCAAAACAUUCAAAGCUAAAAAAGAACUGGGAAAACACAUGGCAGUUCAUUCAGAUGAGAAACCCUUCAGCUGCCCAGAGUGUGGCAAAACAUUCAAAACUAAAAAAACACUAGGACAACACAUGUCAGUUCAUUCAGAUGAGAGACCCUUCGGCUGCCCAGAGUGUGGCAAAACAUUCAAAACUAAAUAUAUACUAGGACAACACAUGGCAGUUCAUUCAGAUGAGAGACCCUUCAGCUGCUCAGACUGUGGCAAACCGUUCAAAACUAAAGGAGAACUGAUGCACCACAAGCCAGUUCACUCAGAGGAGAGACCAUUCAGCUGCCCAAACUGUGGCAAAACAUUCAAAACUAAAAAUAAACUAGGACAACACAUGGCAGUUCAUUCAGAUGAGAGACCCUUCAGCUGCUCAGAUUGUGGCAAAACAUUCAAAACUAAAUACGACCUGGCAAGCCACAUGAGAGUUCACUCAGAUGAGAGACCCUUCAGCUGCUCAGAAUGUGGCAAAACAUUCAAAGCUAAAAAUAACCUGGCAAGCCACAUGAUACUUCACUCAGAUGAGAAACCCUUCAGCUGCCCAGACUGUGGCAAACCGUUCAAAACUAAAGGAGAACUGGCGCACCACAAGCCAGUUCACUCAGAGGAGAGACCCUUCAGCUGCCCAGAGUGUGGCAAAACAUUCAAAAAUAAAGGACAACUGGGACAACACAUGAAAGUUCACACAGAGGAGAGACCGUUCAGCUGCCCAGACUGUGGCAAAACAUUCAAAACUAAAAAAGACCUGGGACAACACAUGAGAGUUCACUCAGAGGAGAGACCCUUCAGCUGCCCAGAGUGUCACAACAAAUACAAAUCCAAACAUAAUCUAGUACAACACAUGGCAGUUCAUUCAGAUGAGAGACCCUUCAGCUGCACUAAAUAUGGCAAAACAGUCGAAACUAAAAAGAAACUGGCAAGCCACAUGAGAGUUCACACAUGGGAGAGACCCUUCAGCUGCCCAGACUGUGGCAAAACAUUCAAAACUAAAAAAGACCUGGGACAACACAUGAGAGUUCACUCAGAGGAGAGACCGUUCAGCUGCUCAGAAUGUCACAAAAAAUUCAAAUCUAAAAAUAAUCUAGUACAACACAUGGCAGUUCAUACAGAUGAGAGACACUUCAGCGGCUCAGAAUGUGGUAAAUUGUUUAAAACAAAAGAGCUGAGGACCAAUCACAUGAGAGUUCACUCUGAUGAGAGACCCUUAAGCUGCUCAGAAUGUGGCAAAACAUUCAAAACUAAAAGAGAAGUGGCAAGCCACAUGAGAGUUCACUCAGAUGAGAGACCCUUCAGCUGCUCAGAAUGUGGCAAAACAUUCAAAACUAAAAAAGAAGUGGCAAGCCACAUUAGAGUUCACUCAGAUGAGAGACCCUUCAGCUGCUCAGAAUGUGGCAAAACAUUCAAAACUAAACAAGAAGUGUCAAGCCACAUGAGAGUUCACACAGAGGAGAGACCCUAUAGCUGCCCUGGAUGUGAUAAACUGUAUAAAACUAAACAAGAGCUGAAUACACACAUUCAAUCUCAAAGGUUGAAGGAGUCCACUGGCUGCUCUGUUUGAAGGGAAGUACUCUUUGUGGUGGAGGAGUUAUAACAUUUUUCAAACCUACAAAUGUUGUUUCAUAAUAGAGAGAGACAUUUUGUUCUGUGUAUAAUAGAAUAUAGUGACACUAGACUAGUCCAAGAAUGUCACAUGGCUCUUCAGAGGUGUGUGUGUAGGGGGGGUUGUCUCAGUAUUCAAAUUCUGAGUCUCUCUGCUAUUAUGAACAUGGUUAGAGACAGAACAAGUGUGUCUACAACUGCAGAAGAAAACAAGCAUGUAGAGUGGACUGGUCUAAGAACAUAGACUUCACCCACAGAAAGUGGCAGAGCCGCCUCUUUUCCCUGAGAAGACUCCGAUCAAUAGACAUGUGUAGUAAGAUGCUGCAGAUGUUUUAUCAGUCUGUGGUGGCAAGUGUUGUGUUCUGUGCUGCAGUCUGCUAGGGAGGAAGUAUCAAACACAAAGAUGCAAAACGUCUGAACAUACUGGUGAAAAAGGUUGGCUCUGUGGUUGGAUUCAAUUUGGACUCACCGGAGGAUGUGGUGGAGAGAUCUACACUGAGGAAGGUGGAGACUAUUUUAAAGAACAUGGAUCAACCACUUAACAACACGUUAAUGGACCAAAGGGCCAAUGGUGGUGGACGGCUCCUCUCUCUUCACUGCAGGACAGAAAGAUUCAGAAGAUCUUUUGGACCCACAGCCAUCAGACUUUACAACUCUUUUAUAAAUAGUAGAUGACUUUUGAGACAUGACAAAUGAGAUGACAGAUAAUUGGAUUUUCCUUCGGGGAUCAAUAAAGUUAUUCUUAUUCUUCUCCCUUGUAUCUUUUGUAAAUUUUUUUGUAUGAUCUGGACUUAUUGAGUCUGAAAUAACCCUCUGCUGGGGCAACACUUAAUCUUCUGUAUCUUGUCCUGUGCUUUACAAUUAUGCAAUGCAGUGGGGCGAGGUGUGUAGUUUUGUUUUUUAUCUCACUUAUUAGAAUUCCAGAGAUGUUUGUAUUGAGUCCUGGCUUUUUGAUGUCACAUUAGACCUCUCUUAAACUUAAAUAACAUUCAAAGGAAAUUGUAUUAGGUUUAUGACCAAAAUUGAUUAUUUAGAAGAUUAUGAAGUAGAUAAUAGGGACAGAGAGGGUAGAUAGUAAGGACAAAGACAUGACUACUUCAAAAUAUAGAGACAUCUAGUCAAUAAAUACUGAGAUACAAGGACAUUUGUUAACUAAACUGUUACUUUUAUUUGAGUACUAAAAUAUUUGCUUUUGAAAAUGCCUAGAUAGACCUACUUAUUUGACUUUUUGAGAAAAUCUCAAAACAAUGUUGUUUUCUCAUCAUUCAUGCGCGCAUGUUUUAAAACUUAAAAACAUAAUUUAAGCUGACUUUAAAGCAAAAGUGGAGAGCAAUAAGAACAUGAUUUGGUUUGGUGGGGUCACCCCAUCUCAUCUCCAGUGACCAGGUCAAGCAUUACAUUCUUUUGGGGGUACUUAGGGUGAGAAAGCGGGCAUCUCUGCUACAAGACCCCAAUUUAUAUUUCUCUAAAGAAAUUAUGUAUGUGUUUGUUCUUUUUUUUUUUUUUACUAUAGUAUUAUUUUAUUAUCUCCCAUGUUAUUUGUUCAAUGUUCCGUUGUCUGAAAUGUUGGGGUUGUACUUGGUCAUGAAGUUGCCAGUUUUGAUACAAAUAAAAAGUUCCCCUACUGCUAACCGGGAGGUGAAUCGGAAGCUGAGUGACAUCAAGGUAUAUUCCCCCCAUACCGGACCUUUACCGACCUCCCAUAAUCAACCAAAUCCAGCAUCAAAUGAUCAGAGCCAAAUAAACUGUAACUUUGUCAAACCUGAGGCCUGUACUAUGCAGCUGGAUUAACACACCCAGGAUAACUGCCAAAACUCACUUAACUUAACCAGAUCUCCGUAAUCCCGAUCAGCUGUACUACGAGGCAGGAUAUCAACUCGAUAACUGAAUUCAAUAGAGGGAAUUCACACUGAUGUCACUCGACUUCUGUCUGUCUGUGUGCAUCACAUCACAGAUGUGUCCAAAAUCUCCCAGAAUGAUUCCUGCCUUCAUUUAAGACAGAAAGAACAAACAGGCAAAGAUUUUUUUUGGAGACUGAGACAUUUCUAUAUCCUAUUAAAAAAAAUAAAAAUGAGGAAGCUCACUCACUUCAGGUUUCUCAAAAUGAAAAGUUGUUAUCCCGCUGCUGUUGCAGACUGUUUUCCUGCAGUUGCAUGAGAGACUGUGGUGUUACCAGUUCCAGCAAAUUUGCAAGAUGUACUUCAUUGUAUUUCUCAGUCUAUCUAUUAUUUGUGAGUUAACACAUUCCUCUUCUUUUUUGUCUAGGUAACCCUGACAGAGCUUGGCAGAGUGCUUAGGGUCAUUGUCUUGCUGCAAAACAAACUUAUGAGCCACAAGUCUGAGUCCAGAUGGAACAGCAUGGUGCUGGAGGAUGGAGUGGUACUGUUCCUUCUUCAUGAUACCCUUUACUUCAAACAGAUCUCCUACUCCAUUACCUACAAAUCUCCACACCAUGGAACUACCACCUCCAUGCUGAAUUGUGGGUGUAACACAUGGUGCUUUCAGAUGUUCACCAGUUUGUCUGCGGACAUAGACCCUGCGUUUUGAACCAAACAGUGCAAACUUGUUUCUAGUCAUCAUAAGUCCAAUUUUUGUGAGCUUUUGCCCACUCAUAUCUCUUUUUCUUGUUCUGUGGAUGAAGUAGUGUUUUUUUGCAGAUACACAACCCUUCAGACCAGCCUUUCUCAAACGUCUUUUCACGGUUGUCACAGAUAUUGGUUUCGACCUUGUCAUGUUGAUUUCCUCCCUUAUUUGUGGUGCUGUCCUCCACCGAUCUCUCUUACUGGUGACAAUGCUAUGUUUAUCCUCUGCUUUUGUACUAACUCUCUUUCAUCCAGGUCUUUUUCUAUCAUCAUAACUUCCAGGUUCCUCUAGUCUCUUCAGAGUGUAGUGGACUCCUUUGUUAAACACCUUUAGGCGUUUUGCAAUUUCUCUUUCUGUGUAUCCUUCUUUCCUCAAUGUACAAAUCUGUACUUUUGUUUCUUUACUCAGUUGCUUCUUUCUAACCAUUUCUGCAGUAUUUUGAACACAGUUGGGAUUUAUUAGGAUUUUUGUAUGCAGACUCUCAAAAGCCAAAAAGUUGAAGUGAAUAAUCCAACUGUGAUUUGCUUUUUGAUUGCUUUUCCACUGAAGUUGUGACUCUUGCAAAUGUUUUCAACCCUAAAACUAAGCCCUUAUUAUCUUUUGCUGACAUAUAUUUAGCAAUGGUCUGUUAACAUCAAUGUAUAUCUAAAGGUAAAUGGAGUAAAAUGGUGCAUUUCCAUGAAAACAACACUUAAACAUGGAGUAAAUACAUCCCAAAAUACAUAAAACUCAUGCUGGAUUUUAAAAAAAUCAUUGUGAACAAUGGCCUUGCUUCCAAACUUUUGUAGUGUAGCUAGUAUAUGUAAAUGCAGAUUAAAAAAUUAUAUAUUAUGGAGAUAAAUUAUCACAAUUCCACAAUAUUCUAAUUUUGGGGGAUUUACCUAUAUAGCACUUUAGGAGUGAGGUCGGUGCCAUCGCCCCUGGCAUGCACCAGCUUUCUGCUAACCUGGCACCAGCCAAGGACACAGGGCAGAUAUUAAUGUUUGUUCGAUGUUCAACAAGUUCAAAAUUUGUAUUGUCGUAUCAAAACAUUAUUCAUCUUGUUUUUAUUACAAGGGAUUGCACCAGAGGCCACUAAUAAAUGGAGGUGUGUAGACCAGUGCCUACAAAAAAAAGACAGUGUCGGACUGGUGUUAAAUGCAUGCUGUACAAGGCAUAUACUGAUGAUUAUGACUGAGCUCUUACCUAUCAUAUAAAAUCAGAAUCAGAAGGGGUUUUAUUGCCAUUGUCAAUGAACAGGAUUCACAGACUAGGAAUUUUUUACGGCGUGAUGGUGCAACAUUACGGUGGCCUGGAUGUAUAAAAUACAACCGCAAAAGAGAAAACACGAUCUUUCGAAACGUUUUUAUUGAAUGUGGGUGGCCAACUUCACAGAGGUGGAAUAUAGGGAAUCUCUUUUUUGCCACAGUUUAGACUAACUUGGUGUUUUCAAAGCUUUUAAACACAGUAACUAAAGAAACAUCAGUGGGCACAUUUUUGUAAUUCAUCAUGGUUGUCAAAGUUCAUUAUUUGUUAUUAUUAAAGCUGUUCUAUUAAGGUUAAAGCUCCAUAUAAAAGUAACCCAUUAGUAAAAUAUCCCGUGCGGUUCUCCUCCUCUGA